rnacentral:rRNA from 1 species
CCCUUAGAUGUUCUGGGCUGCACGCGUGUUACAAUCGGGAGUACAACAAGAUUGCAAAUCCUAGUGGAUGAGUGGUUCUUCGAAAUUUUCUGAAGACUGGGAUAGAUGAUUGAAAUUAUUCAACUCGAACGAGGAAUUCCUUGUAAUUGUAAUUCAUUAUAUUGUAAUGAAUACGUCCCUGCCCUUUGUACACACUGCCCGUCGCUCCUACCGAUUGAACGAUCCGGUGAAUUAUUUGGAGUAGCUCUGGAAGUUGCAGAACUUCCUAUGUCACGAAAUUUUGUAAACCUUAUCGUUUAGAGGAAGGAAAAGUCGUAACA